UCCGUGCUUUUCACGGCAGUACCCUAAGAGUGCUCCCUUGCGGGUAGCAACAUAGGGCGGGGGUUGCGCUCGUUGCAGGACUUAACCUAACACCUCACGGCACGAGCUGACGACAGCCAUGCAGCACCUCUAUUGGCUCCCUUGCGGGUCCCUCAAACUUUCAUUCGAGGUACUACCAACAGUUCAAGCCCAGGUAAGGUUCUUCGCGUAGCGUCGAAUUGAACCACAUGCCCCACCGCUUGUGCGGGUCCCCGUCAAUUCCUUUGAGUUUUAACCUUGCGGCCGUAGUCCCCAGGCGGCAGACUUAAUGCGUUAGCUGCGACACGAUCAGGGUCGAUACUUCUCGCGUCUAGUCUGCAUAGUUUAAGGCUAGGACUAC
rnacentral:misc_RNA from 1 species